CUGUACCCAGGUCAUCAGGGCACACCGAAGAAAGACACCUGAUCAGAGAGAGAAUGCUGGAUUCAGGGACUGCACCUUGAUCUAAAUAAAAACAAAUACAUCCUUGAGCUGUAGACUUUAAAAUAGCAGGUGACGCUUUGGAAAUGGAAUGAGUGUUCCAGUCUUUAAAAUACUCUUCUAAUUGUAGAGCCUGCUCUCCUUUACGGAGUCAUUCAAUGAAGAAGCAAAAUCCUUCAUGGACAUCCUGUCCCUAAAAGGGAGCGUGCAGGAGCCGGAUGAGGAUCAGAGACAGCUGAGAGAAGGCUGGAGCCGUCUCCACCACCAGAUUAACGCUUGGAAAACAAAGCUGGACGAUGCCUUGCCCCCGCCCCUGUGUGAUAUCGCAGCCUGCUUGCAGGAGGUAGAGGAACUGGGGGAGAAAGUCUUGCCAGGCUCCCCGGAUUCCUCUGGCCCCGAGACUCUGACCCAGGAGAAAAUGACUCUAUAUAAGGUUGGCAAAGCAAAGAGACAUGGGAAACCAAUACUGUGUUAGGGUCUGUUCCCGAGG
rnacentral:lncRNA from 1 species